UGCGUAGGCGGUGCGGUAAGUCUUCUGUGAAAUCUCCGGGCUCAACUCGGAGUCUGCAGGGGAAACUGCCGUGCUGGAGUAUGGGAGAGGUGAGUGGAAUUCCCGGCGUAGCGGUGAAAUGCGUAGAUAUCGGGAGGAACACCUGUGGCGAAAGCGGCUCACUGGACCAUUACUGACGCUGAUGCACGAAAGCUAGGGGAGCAAACAGGAUUAGAUACCCUGGUAGUCCUAGCCCUAAACGAUGAUCGCUUGGUGUGACAGGUACCCAAUCCUGUCGUGCCGGAGCUAACGCGUUAAGCGAUCCGCCUGGGGAGUACGGUCGCAAGGCUGAA
rnacentral:rRNA from 1 species